rnacentral:lncRNA from 1 species
GCGCGCUCAGCUGUUCUCUUUUUUCAAUGUCAAUUCAAAGAUAUACUGUGUGAUAUCAAGCUAGCCAGGGUAGUGACAGACGUAGGUUCCGAGUAGCUCCGUGCCGACUAGCAGUAACACUCCCUCACCCACAGAGCUCAAGCAUCGCCACCAGCAGAGCAUACAUUGAAAAGAACAACGGACAAGCUGGAUGAUGCUGUGGAGGUGAUGCUACUGGUGAAAAACAGCGAUCCAGCCUGGUCCCUACCCCGCAAGCGUCGGCUCCACUUCACCAGGUGACCACAUGGACGACUCCACCACGGUCAUCAAGCAUACCCGAACACCAUCACAUGAUUAUGGUAAGAUAUGGAGAAGGAGAGACCAAGGCAAGAGGAGGAAGAGGAAGAGGAGAAGGAGUAAGAUAAGAGGAAUCAAGAGAAAAAAGAAAAGAUUGCAAAAAUAAACUGGGAGAAAUAUGACUUGAGUGUCAUCACUCAGGAAAUGACACCAAACACCAGGAAGAGGAUCUUUGCAGAGAUGUCAGUCAGCCAGCCAGCCAUUGGGGAAAGUCAAGAGUCCCUGAAUGCUGCUAAUUAGAUACUGAUGCCAGGAACACUGCACCUUGAAGGCAAACCACAAACCUUCAACAAGAGUGAUGAAGAACAGCCACAGUAUCAGACAAGACAUGUAGCAAUGAAGAACACCCAAAGUACAUGGGUUGGAUUCUUUGAACAGAAAUAUGGUCUGCUUGUUAACAGAUUCUUUCAAUGUUCACUCAGUCAUUCACUUACUUAGCUCAGAAUGAAUGAAGAAUGUGCAGUGAAAUAAAUAUUGCUGCUUGUAUGGGGGUGAGUCUUGUGAUGGAAUUAAGUGUUUGGUUUUUGUUAUCUUAAAAAAUUUUAUAAAAAAGACUGAAUGUGUGUGUGUGUGUGUGUGUGUGUGUGUGUAAUUCACUGUUUGUUUGAUCUGUUUGGUCUGCUGCAGUCUCUGACGAGACAGCCAGACGUUACCCUACGGAACGAGCUCAGAGCUCAUUAU